UACAGAGGGUGCGAGCGUUAAUUGGAAUUACUGGGCGUAAAGCGUGCGCAGACGGUCAUGUAAGUCGGGUGUGAAAGCCCCGGGCUCAACCUGGGAAUUGCAUUCGAGACUGUGUGGCUAGGGUGCGGAAGAGGGAAGCGGAAUUUCCGGUGUAGCGGUGAAAUGCGUAGAUAUCGGAAGGAACACCAGUGGCGAAAGCGGCUUCCUGGUCCAGCACCGACGUCAGGCACGAAAGCGUGGGGAGCAAACAGG
rnacentral:rRNA from 1 species